UUUGGUGGCGAUAGCGAAGAGGUCACACCCGUUCCCAUGCCGAACACGGAAGUUAAGCUCUUCAGCGCCGAUGG
rnacentral:rRNA from 2 species